GAGUAUCAAACCUCCCGUAAUGUUCUAGAUAGGUUCUUUGCCAUAGUCUUUUAAUGUGGUUUGAUUUUUUUUUUUAAUUUUCAUUGAUUUAAAUGAUAUGCUAAUAAAAAGCUGAGGGAAGAUGUGUCAUAAAACUAAUAACAAUAAUGUUUAGUAUAUUUAUGUGUUUUAUUUAAAAAUCAGAAGUUGUAGUGAACUUUUUUUGAAGAUGUAAACUUAAAAGAGUACAGUGGUCCUAAAAUACAUCAUAAGAGUGUUGUUUGGUACUAGAUAACUCUAUCUUUCUGUGAAAUAUUUGCAUUUCAAAGGGUAAGCCAUCACCUUAUCUGUGUGUCUCAUUUUGGACAGUGAGGUGCUGCUACAUAAGUGUGAUAAGGAACACUAAUGUCGCCUCAUGUUAUCUUAAAAAUUAAUGAUCUAGAAUGGAAGUGUUGUCUUUUGGUUUAAACCUAAGGGUUGCAGUAAUUUUUGCUGGUUUUAAUAUCUGAGUAUCAAAUUAGUCAUUAAAACCAAUACUUUGUUAAUGGUAAGUAUUGUAUCAUUCUUUCUGCAUGCAACUGAGGUUUUCUUUUGUCAUCUUAUAUAGCAGUUUGGACCACUUAGCCAGGUGGCAUUCAUUGGUUCUUGUAAAAACUGGGAAUAUUUGAGUCAGUUUGGUGACUGAAAGAGACAAUGAUGAAGGAGCAAAGACCAAUUGAUAGGACAGAUUGCCUAGGGGAAGACUGGGGGUAAGCAAUGAACACAGAUAAAACAUAUUGCCUUAGAAAAUGUGGUUGAAUGUAAGGACACAUGGAUAUGAAGAUAACCAGAUAUUCAGGGGGAGAGAAAGGAGAUAGUAAGACAUCAUGCCCGGGACCAUAAUCUCUGGAAAUUAAGAAGCAGGACCAUCUGCUUAGUAAAUACUCCUUGAUGAGUUGAAGGCAUCUUGGGAGGGAAGGAAAACUGAGGACAUUUUAUGACAGUAAGAGAGCUUGGGGUCAAUUGUGGUGAAGAAUGCAAUAAGGAGUCAAUUAGGACUGAAUCAAAGGCUUGUGAGCAACAGUGAGGUCUCGUUGAGGUUACAUGUGUAUUCUGAAUCAAUCAGCAUGACUUUGUAACCCUCUGGUAGUCCUUGACAGAGAGGGACAAAGAAGAAUACACUUCCAAAAUAAAUGGAAUAACAGUGAACUCUCAAGUGCAUAGGAGACCAGGGAUUUAUCUGGGUAAAUGGCACAGGGGUCAAGAAAGCUCAGCUAUAAAAACAGACUAGAAAUCCAGGCAGACCCACAAAAUUGGUUAAAGACUUAAGGUAAAAAAAAAAAAAAAAAAGGAACAUGUCUAUCCUAUAAUCCAGUAGUAAAUUAUGGUAACCUGAUGCACAGUCAGCAAGCUGAUAAUAAUAACUGUAUUAAAAUAGCAGUCGAAAGAAAAAAAAAAUCUCUAGUAUGGUUUCUACCAUUGGCUGAUGGCUACUCUGAGCUGUGUACUUUACCUACAUCAGGAGUUGGCAAACAUUUUCUCACGGGGAUAGAUAGUAAAUAUAUUUGGCUUAGCAAACCAUAUGGUCUCUGUCACAAUUACUCCUCAGUACUCUGUGAAAACAGCCUUAGACAAUACACAAAUGUAUUAACAUGAAAACCACAAGUGGUUGCCUAGAAACACUAGUGGGAAAUCCCCAUCAGAAGUCAACACAGACAAGCUGCACCUGUUUCGUAUAAACAGUGAUGAGGGCAUUGUAAAAAUGGGUUUCCUGGCCUACUGGGAUGUUAAGGAGCUGUUUUCAAUCUACCUACAAGUACAUCUAUAUGUGUGCAUAUAUGUAUGUGUAUACUAUAUUACAUAACUAAUACUGUGUUGGGCCCUAUGAGAAUUAUGUAGAAAUUAAAUAAAUAAUCUUUGUCUUCUGAGAAAUGUCAUUCUAUUUGGAGGAAGAGAUGGAGAAAGGAGGAUUGAGGGAAUGGAAGUAAUUAUAACAUUUGAUAUAGCUGAACAGUGGAUUUACUGAUAAAAAGUGACACAAUGACUUUGAAUACAGAAAGCUAGUACAUUAGGAAGGAAUAUUUCUCUGCCCUUGAAGUUGAGGUGAUUCAAAGAAGUAGCCAACUGGGAA
rnacentral:lncRNA from 10 species